UACGGAGGGUGCAAGCGUUAUCCGAAUUCACUGGGUUUAAAGGGUGCGUAGGAGGGCAGGUAAGUCAGUGGUGAAAUCCUAGAGCUUAACUCUAGAACUGCCGUUGAUACUAUCUGUCUUGAAUCCCGUGGAGAUGAGCGGAAUAUGUCAUGUAGCGGUGAAAUGCUUAGAUAUGACAUAGAACACCAAUUGCGAAGGCAGCUCGUUACACGAAGAUUGACUCUGAGGCACGAAAGCGUGGGGAUCAAACAGG
rnacentral:rRNA from 1 species